rnacentral:rRNA from 1 species
GACGAACCGUGCAAACGUUGUUCGGAAUAACUGGGCUUAAAGGGAGCGUAGGCGGGCUAACAAGUCUGGGGUGAAAUCCCGCGGCUCAACCGUGGAACUGCCUCAGAUACUGUCGGCCUCGAGGGAGAUAGGGGCAUGCGGAACUAACGGUGGAGCGGUGAAAUGCGUUGAUAUCGUUAGGAACUCCGGUGGCGAAAGCGGCGUGCUGGAUCUCUUCUGACGCUGAGGCUCGAAAGCUAGGGGAGCAAAAGGG